rnacentral:rRNA from 1 species
GAUUGACCUCGGAUCAGGUAGGGAUACCCGCUGAACUUAAGCAUAUCAAUAAGCGGAGGAAAAGAAACCAACAGGGAUUGCCUCAGUAACGGCGAGUGAAGCGGCAACAGCUCAAAUUUGAAAUCUGGCGCUUUUGUGCCCGAGUUGUAAUUUGUAGAGGAUGUUUCGGGUGCGGCACCGUUCUAAGUUCCUUGGAACAGGGCGUCAUAGAGGGUGAGAAUCCCGUACGUGACCGGUCGCCAAACUCAUGUGAAACUCCUUCGACGAGUCGAGUUGUUUGGGAAUGCAGCUCAAAAUGGGAGGUAUAUUUCUUCUAAAGCUAAAUACCGGCCAGAGACCGAUAGCGCACAAGUAGAGUGAUCGAAAGAUGAAAAGCACUUUGGAAAGAGAGUUAAAAAGUACGUGAAAUUGUUGAAAGGGAAGCGCUUGCAAUCAGACUCGCUUUGGGGUGAUCAACCGUUCUUCGGGACGGUGCACUCUCCCCCGGGCGGGCCAGCAUCGGUUUGGGCGGUUGGAUAAAACCUCCAGGAAUGUAGCUCCUCUCGGGGAGUGUUAUAGCCUGGGGUAUAAUGCAAUCAGCCUGGACCGAGGACCGCGCUUUUGCUAGGAUGCUGGCGUAAUGGUUGUAAGCGACCCGUCUUGAAACACGGACCAAGGAGUCGACCAACAACGCGAGUGUUUGGGUGUCAAACCCAUACGCGUAAUGAAAGUGAACGUGGUAAGAACCCCUUACGGGGCGCAUUAUCGACCGAUCCAGAUGUCUUCGGAAGGAUUUGAGUAAGAGCGUCGCUGGUCGGACCCGAAAAAUGGUGAACUAUGCGUGAAUAGGGUGAAGCCAGAGGAAACUCUGGUGGAGGCUCGCAGCGGUUCUGACGUGCAAAUCGAUCGUCAAAUUUGCGUAUAGGGGCGAAAGACUAAUCGAACCAUUGAAUUAAGGAAGAAUCAAGCUAUUAGGUGGUUGAUUGCGGCGGGGCUCGUCCCUGCUGCCAGUCCUCGGGUGGUAAUAUACCGCUGGGGGCGACAUCGUUGUCUGCGUGGAUUCAUCUAUUCUUCCGGGAGUAGUUGGAGACAUGGCGCGAAUUUACCUUGUGUAAAUCUGUUCACAGACCAAGCGGCGAUGGCCCGAGACCGUUAAGUCUGGGUUGAGAUAUGGCCGGCCCU